CCAACAUCUUCCAGAUGGCUUCCUCAAACACAAGAAUUAAUCCAUUUCCCUAGGUGAAAGGCUUUGGUCUCCAAGGCUCAGCUCAGACCUAUCUGAUACAACGCUCUUGUGUGAGCGUAAGAACCAAGAACCAGGGCUUUGCUCUCCAGCCUGUUCUAGGCUGAACGGAACAUGAACAUGAACAUGAACAUGAACGUGAACAUGAACAUGAACGUGAACAUGAACAUGAACAUGAACAUGAACAUGAACAUGAAUAUGAACUGGAACUAGAUUUGUGCAGAGUUUAGCUUUGUGGCAGAGUUUAAAAAAGUAAAAACUGCUACCUCAGAAAAAAUUUAUAAUUCCUGUUAUCCUUUAUUCUUUUUUUUCAGCAUGUAGCUUUGAUAGUAAAAGGGUUUUAAAAUCAUGGGGAUUUAGGGUUAACAGGAAGGCGAGCUUGGUAGGCCCUGGAAAGAUGGGUGCCUUGGGUACAUGGGGAGCUAGUGCUUGCUGGAGCUGCGCUGUGUGGCUGGUACAGGAUGAAUGAUGUGGUUGUUGGAUGUGAUGAUUGUUUAGUAGUUAGAUAUAAUUACUGUUUGAUCAUGAGAGUAAUCAUGAGAGGCUGUGGUCGGGGACCUGGGGGAGAUCACAGGAAACUCAUGUCGAUGUGUGCAGUGGGACAAUGUAAGUUUCAUGGUUAGUGUGUAAGUUAUAUAACGAUAGAAUAUGGAGUGCGUUCAGCUCGGGGGCCAUGUCAGAGUCAGAGUUGGGUUUGUACCCCGACUCCCAGAGCUCUUAAUAAAAGCACCUGCAUAUAAUCAUA